rnacentral:lncRNA from 1 species
ACAACUCAGACUGAGGUUGAGUCAGAAUUAGUGCACUUGUGGAGUGCUGUCCGGUAAGUUGCCGAGGCUUAUUGUGAACGAAAGAGGAAUCGAGGUCGAUCCUGCUAAAAAAAAAGAAAAAAGAAAAAGAAAGAAAAGAAAAGAAAAGGAAAAAGCAAUACAAGGAAUACCUGAACCGAGAUCGAAAAAAAAAAGAAAAAAAGCAAACGGUCAGGUGGAUAUUGCCAAGGGGCAUUGAAAAAAAAUAAGUCGCAGGAUCCUCUGAUUUUGAUGCCUCCUG